AGCGUACACGGUGGAUGCCUAGGCAGUCAGAGGCGAUGAAGGGCGUGCUAAUCUGCGAAAAGCGUCGGCAAGGUGAUAUGAACCGUUAUACCCGACGAUACCCGAAUGGGGAAACCCAGUGCAAUCCGUUGCACUAUCGCAACAUGAAUACAUAGUGUUGCGAGGCGAACCGGGGGAACUGAAACAUCUCAGUACCCCGAGGAAAAGAAAUCAACCGAGAUUCCCCUAGUAGCGGCGAGCGAACGGGGAGGAGCCCAGAACCUGAAUCAGUUUGUGUCUUAGUGGAAGCGUCUGGAAAGUCGCACGACAGAGGGUGAUAGUCCCGUACACGAAGAGGCAUGGAUUGUGAGUUCGAUGAGUAGGGCGGGACACGUGUUAUCCUGUCUGAAUAUGGGGGGACCAUCCUCCAAGGCUAAAUACUCCUGACUGACCGAUAGUGAACCAGUACCGUGAGGGAAAGGCGAAAAGAACCCCGGCGAGGGGAGUGAAAUAGAACCUGAAACCGUGUACGUACAAGCAGUGGGAGCCUUGAUUAAUCAGGGUGACUGCGUACCUUUUGUAUAAUGGGUCAGCGACUUAUAUUCUGUAGCAAGGUUAACCGAAUAGGGGAGCCGCAGGGAAACCGAGUCUUAACUGGGCGUUAAGUUGCAGGGUAUAGACCCGAAACCCGGUGAUCUAGCCAUGGGCAGGUUGAAGGUUGGGUAACACUAACUGGAGGACCGAACCGACUAAUGUUGAAAAAUUAGCGGAUGACUUGUGGCUGGGGGUGAAAGGCCAAUCAAACCGGGAGAUAGCUGGUUCUCCCCGAAAGCUAUUUAGGUAGCGCCUCGUGAACUCAUCUUCGGGGGUAGAGCACUGUUUCGACUAGGGGGCCAUCCCGGCUUACCAACUCGAUGCAAACUGCGAAUACCGAAGAAUGUUAUCACGGGAGACACACGGCGGGUGCUAACGUCCGUCGUGAAGAGGGAAACAACCCAGACCGCCAGCUAAGGUCCCAAAGUCAUGGNUAAGUGGGAAACGAUGUGGGAAGGCCCAGACAGCCAGGAUGUUGGCUUAGAAGCAGCCAUCAUUUAAAGAAAGCGUAAUAGCUCACUGGUCGAGUCGGCCCGCGCGGAAGAUGUAACGGGGCUAAACCAUGCACCGAAGCUGCGGCAGCGANACUUAGGUGUUGUUGGGNAGGGGAGCGUUCUGUAAGCCUGCGAAGGUGACCUGUGAGGGUUGCUGGAGGUAUCAGAAGUGCGAAUGCUGACAUAAGUAACGAUAAUGCGGGUGAAAAACCCGCACGCCGGAAGACCAAGGGUUCCUGUCCAACGUUAAUCGGGGCAGGGUGAGUCGACCCCUAAGGCGAGGCCGAAAGGCGUAGUCGAUGGGAAACAGGUUAAUAUUCCUGUACUUGGUGUUACUGCGAAGGGGGGACGGAGAAGGCUAGGUUAUCCGGGCGACGGUUGUCCCGGUUUAAGCGUGUAGGUGGAUGUUUUUGGUAAAUCCGGAACAUCAUUAACACUGAGGCGUGAUGACGAGUCACUACGGUGAUGAAGUGACCGAUGCCAAGCUUCCAGGAAAAGCCUCUAAGCUCCAGGUAACACGAAAUCGUACCCCAAACCGACACAGGUGGUCAGGUAGAGAAUACCAAGGCGCUUGAGAGAACUCGGGUGAAGGAACUAGGCAAAAUGGUGCCGUANCUUCGGGAGAAGGCACGCUGGCGUUGGUGAAGGGACUUGCUCCCGGAGCUGAUACCAGUCGCAGAUACCAGCUGGCUGCAACUGUUUAAUAAAAACACAGCACUGUGCAAACACGAAAGUGGCCGUAUACGGUGUGACGCCUGCCCGGUGCCGGAAGGUUAAUUGAUGGGGUCAGCCGCAAGGCGAAGCUCUUGAUCGAAGCCCCGGUAANCNGCGGCCGUAACUAUAACGGUCCUAAGGUAGCGAAAUUCCUUGUCGGGUAAGUUCCGACCUGCACGAAUGGCAUAAUGAUGGCCAGGCUGUCUCCACCCGAGACUCAGUGAAAUUGAACUCGCUGUGAAGAUGCAGUGUACCCGCGGCAAGACGGAAAGACCCCGUGAACCUUUACUAUAGCUUGACACUGAACCUUGAGCCUUGAUGUGUAGGAUAGGUGGGAGGCUUUGAAGUGUGGACGCCAGUCUGCAUGGAGCC
rnacentral:rRNA from 1 species